rnacentral:rRNA from 1 species
GAUGAACGCUGGCGGCGUGCCUAAUACAUGCAAGUCGAGCGAACAGACGAGGAGCUUGCUUCUCUGACGUUAGCGGCGGACGGGUGAGUAACACGUGGAUAACCUACCUAUAAGACUGGGAUAACUUCGGGAAACCUGAGCUAAUACCGGAUAAUAUAUUGAACCGCAUGGUUCAAUAGUUAAAGACGGUUUUGCUGUCACUUAUCGAUGGAUUCGCGCCGCAUUAGCUAGUUGGUAAGGUAACGGCUUGGCAAGGCAACGAUGCGCAGGCGACCUGAGAGAGUGAUCGGCCACACGGGAAGUGGGACGCGGUCACUGCUCCUACGGGAGGCAGCAGUAGGGAAUCUGACGCAGUGGGCGAGAGCCUGACGGAGCAAGGCCAAGUGAGUGAUGAAGGUCUUCGGAUCGUAAAGCUCUGUUAUUAGGGAAAAACAUAUGUGUAAGUAAAUGUGCACGUAUUGACGGUACCUAAAGAGAAAGCCACGGCUAACUACGUG